rnacentral:rRNA from 1 species
AUUGAACGCUGGCGGCGUGCCUAACACAUGCAAGUCGAGCGGUAACAGGUGUAGCAAUACAUGCUGACGAGCGGCGGACGGGUGAGUAACGCUUGGGAAUCUGCCUAUUAGUGGGGGACAACCCGGGGAAACUCGGGCUAAUACCGCAUACGCACUACGGUGGAAAGCCGGGGACCGCAAGGCCUGGCGCUAACAGAUGAGCCCAAGUCGGAUUAGCUAGUUGGUAGGGUAACGGCCACCAAGGCGACGAUCCGUAACUGGUCUGAGAGGACGACCAGUCACACCGGAACUGAGACACGGUCCGGACUCCUACGGGAGGCAGCAGUGGGGAAUAUUGGACAAUGGGCGAAAGCCUGAUCCAGCGACGCCGCGUGGGUGAAGAAGGCCUGCGGGUUGUAAAGCCCUUUCAGUGGGGAAGAAAAGCCUCGAGCUAACACCUC